AGAGUUUGAUCAUGGCUCAGAGCGAACGCUGGCGGCGUGCUUAACACAUGCAAGUCGAACGUGAAAGGGGGCAACCCCGAGUAAAGUGGCGUACGGGUGAAUAAUACGUAGGCAAUCUACCUGAGAGUCUGGAAUAACCUGCCGAAAGGCGGGCUAAUACUGGAUAGAGCGACGGAAUCCGUAAUUGGGUUUUUCGGGAAAGGGAGGUCGUAAGAUCCCUUGCUCUCAGAUGGGCCUGCGUCCCAUCAGCUAGUUGGCGAGGUAACGGCUCACCAAGGCGAUGACGGGUAGCUGGUCUGAGAGGAUGAUCAGCCACACUGGAACUGAAACACGGUCCAGACUCCUACGGGAGGCAGCAGAGGAGGAUCAUUCGCAAUGGGCGAAAGCCUGACGGUGCGACGCCGCGUGAGGGAUGAAGGCCUUCGGGUUGUAAACCUCUGUCAGGAGUUAUGAACGGCGGGGGCGCUAAUAUCGCCUCCGCGUGACCAAGGCUCCAAAGGAAGCCACGGCUAACUACGUGCCAGCAGCCGCGGUAAUACGUAGGUGGCAAGCGUUACUCGGAAUCACUGGGCAUAAAGGGCGUGUAGGCGGACGUGUAAGUCCGGUGUAAAAGCCCCCGGCUCAACCGGGGAAGGCCAUCGGAGACUGCGCGUCUCGAGUGCGGGAGGGGAGAGUGGAACUCUUGGUGGAGCGGUGAAAUGCGUAGAUAUCAAGAGGAACGCCGGUGGCGAAAGCGGCUCUCUGGCCCGUUACUGACGCUGAGGCGCGAAAGCUAGGGGAGCAAACGGGGAU
rnacentral:rRNA from 1 species